CUCUGUGGGACCUGGCCAGAGGGUGACACAGCUCAUCUCCGUGCUCCUUUAUUGCUGUUCCUUUUCCCUCUUUGUGGUGACACUUGUCUCCAUCCCUGAGCAGGGCAAUGCUGGCCCCAGGGGCCUUCCUGGAAUUCCCGGUCCAGGAGCUGCCACGGGGGAAAUUGGAGGGAAAGGCCAGAAGGGAGAGAAGGGCCGAGAAGGUUUGCUGGGCCAGGGUGGUGUCACCGGAGCUGCAGGACCUGCUGGAGCCAGAGGAUGGUUUGGGGGGACAGGACUCCGAGGUCCUCCUGGGCUCGACGGUCCCGAGGGAGAGAAGGUACAGAGGGAUGAUGGAUCCAAUCCUUCAUCUCUGUGUGAAACUCCCUUUUCUGGCCUCUUCCCAAGCUUUCCUGGUGGGAAUGUGCUGGGAAUGUGCUGGGAGUGGCUGGAUGGCUGUCCUGGGCAGGCUGGUGACAGGGACACGCCUUGCUGCCUGAGCUCCAGAGCCAGCAAGGCAGGGAAGGGUUUUUCCAUGGACAGAGCUGUUUCCCUUCCUUUCCCAGGGAGAUCCAGGGCCACGAGGUGUGGAUGGACCUGCUGGGGCUGCAGGAUUCGAGGUGCUGAUUGAUGCCUGGAAUGUU
rnacentral:lncRNA from 1 species